rnacentral:rRNA from 1 species
GACGAACGCUGGCGGCGUGCUUAACACAUGCAAGUCGAACGGUGAAGCUCCAGCUUGCUGAAGUGGAUCAGUGGCGAACGGGUGAGUAACACGUGAGCAACCUGCCCCUGACUCUGGAAUAAGCGCUGGAAACGGCGUCUAAUACUGGAUACGAGAAGGGUCCGCAUGGGCACUUUCUGGAAAGUUCUUCGGUUGGGGAUGGGCUCGCGGCCUAUCAGCUUGUUGGUGAGGUAAUGGCUCACCAAGGCGACGACGGGUAGCCGGCCUGAGAGGGCGACCGGCCACACUGGGACUGAGACACGGCCCAGACUCCUACGGGAGGCAGCAGUGGGGAAUAUUGCACAAUGGGCGAAAGCCUGAUGCAGCGACGCCGCGUGAGGGAUGACGGCCUUCGGGUUGUAAACCUCUUUCAGCAGGGAAGAAGCGAAAGUGACGGUACCUGCAGAAGAAGCACCGGCUAACUACGUG